rnacentral:rRNA from 1 species
GACGAACGCUGGCGGCGCGCUUAACACAUGCAAGUCGAGCGAGAACCGGGGCUUCGGCCCUGGGGACAGCGGCGAACGGGUGAGUAACACGUGGGUAAUCUGCCCUCGGCAUCGGGAUAGCCCGGGGAAACCCGGAUUAAUACCGAAUAGCCUCCGGAGCCUUCGGGCGCCGGAGAAAAGGUAGCUUCGGCCUCUGGCCGAGGAUGAGCCCGCGGCGGAUUAGCUUGUUGGCGGGGUAACGGCCCACCAAGGCGACGAUCCGUAGCUGGUCUGCGAGGGCGAUCAGCCACACUGGGACUGAGACACGGCCCAGACUCCUACGGGAGGCAGCAGUGGGGAAUCGUGCGCGAAUGCGGGAAACCGUGACGCAGCGACGCCGCGUGGGGGAAGAAGGCCGUCGGGUUGUAAACCUCUUUCAGGAGGGACGAAGCUACUCGGGUGAAUUUCCCAGAGGGUGACGGUACCUCCAGAAGAAGCCCUGGCUAACUACGUGCCAGCAGCCGCGGUAAAAC